CGCCUUGCCAGCCCGCUCAGAACUCAAAGGAAUUGACGGGGGCCCGGCACAAGCGGAGGAGCAUGUGGUUUAAUUCGAUGAUACGCGAGGAACCUUACCUGGGCUCGAACGUAAGAUGACUGUAGGUGAAAGCUUACAUCUCUUCGGAGCAUUUUACGAGGUGCUGCAUGGUUGUCGUCAGCUCGUGCCGUGAGGUGUCGGGUUAAGUCCCAUAACGAGCGCAACCCCUACCUUUAGUUGCCAUCAGGUUAAGCUGGGGACUCUAAAGGAACUGCCUACGCAAGUAGUGAGGAAGGCGGGGAUGACGUCAAAUCAGCACGGCCCUUACGUCCAGGGCUACACACGUGCUACAAUGGCCGAUACAGAGGGCAGCUACCUGGUGACAGGAUGCAAAUCUCCAAAGUCGGUCUCAGUUCGGAUCGGAGUCUGCAACCCGACUCCGUGAAGUUGGAUUCGCUAGUAAUCGCGCAUCAGCCAUGGCGCGGUGAAUACGUUCCCGGGCCUU
rnacentral:rRNA from 1 species